UCAAUUAUGGCUCUGCUAGGUGUCUCUGCUCAUCUUGGCUGGACUUCCUAUGUUUGGGGGUUCUCUGGCCACAGACUGGCUUAAGGUUAUCUCAGAUGGUCCCCACUUAGCUCUGCUCCACUCGAUCUCUCAUUCUUUAGCCGGCUGGUCCAGGCUUACUCCAAGAGACAAGUAGCAGUGCACACUUUCUCAAGCUACUGCUUGGAAUAAGUUUGCUGUUGUCCCAUUGUGUGGAGAACGGCUACAGCGUUUGGACAGGUUCAAGCCUGGGACUAAUGAGAGGCCACGGUCCUCUCGUGGCAAAACCACGUGCAAGUCCUAGUUUGGAGGGCAAAGCCCUCCCAGCACAAUGAUAGCCAAAGGCUGUGGUCAUAAGCUUGACCUUAUGGUGGGAACCUGUGGUCCCACGUGGCUGAGUGAUGUGGGCUUAAUAGAGUUCAGA